ensembl:lincRNA
AAUGCAGGCAUUUGAGGAUCCGGGAGAAAGGGAAUGACCAAGGAAGCAAGGCUCUGGGGAGGUGGAAGGGGUCAGGAUCCAGAUCAGAACAGUUCGGCUCUGAAUAACACGAAGGCGACGCCAUCCCGAGAGAAGAGCGAAGAAGAAGUAGAAAAGAGCCCAGGCUUCAGGUGGAGCGAUCCUGCUCAUGCCCGGGGAGAAAACCUCGGUCCCCUACACUUCUGUGCUCCAAUGAACCCUUCUCCACCCGCACCCGCACCCCAACGCAGAGGGAACAACAUCCUGAUGGGAGGUGCUUACCUGAGACUCCACCUGGAUCACAAGCGGCGUCUCCUCUGUCUCCAAGGAAAGAGACGCAUCGGGUCGUAGGCCCGCUUGGAGAGCGCUCCCACGCAGCACAUGGAUUUGUGGCUUCCAAGUUGCCCCAGCUUCUCCUGCGCUGCUGUACCGCGGCUGGUGCGCACAGAGAGACGAUCCCUCAGGGAUGUAACUGUCCCUCAGAACAACGGAUUACUUAAAAUAUAACCCCUGGGAAAUUUUACUGGUUACCAAGCACAUUUAGAUGUAGCCUCCAGAACACACACUGGCAACAGGCCGCUGGAGGAGAGGACAGUAUAUAUACAGCCUUGAAGCCCAGCAGCUGGAACACCCGGCCCGCUCAGGACUGACCUCCGCCUCCUUCAUUUUCCCGUUAGAGCCCCCUGCCCCAGAGCACCUGCAGCUAAUUAGAUAAGUCCUUUGAACGUGCUUGCUCAGCUAUAAACUUUAUACGGCUUGACCAGACAUAUUUUGCCUUCCUUCUUGUUGAUCUACAAGGCCUAUGAUCAGCGUUUAGCCUUCUUCGGCUCUUCUGCUGAUUACUGUCUGUAUCUAAUAAAAACGGGACUGAGGAGUUGUUGGGGCCAACAGUCUUUGCUAGUGGUGUCCCCCGCUCCCUUUCUCUGGCAGCUGACUUGUUCGUGCCUCAUUCUUCUCCUAUGCACUGUCAGGAAGCAGCAAGGAAAGCCACAGAAACCCCCAAAACCGGACUACCAAGGCUUGUCAGGCGAUUUUCCCGAAGAUGUAAAAUAAAUGACAUUGUUCCCCUUUGGGAAAGAUUUUCCAAGCGUUCAUAGAGAAUUUUGUGAAGAGCUAGCAAAUGCUACCAUUGGGGGGGGGGGGGAAAUAAAACCAUUCCAGGGAAAGCCACACAAAAGCUGGAGUUAAUAAGUAAAAAGUGUCCAUAGACAUAAUUUUUACUGCUGCAGAUGCUUAAAACUGACAGGAAGAAGCAAACCCCCUCUCCCACCAUCAGUAGUUCCUGUCAAGUGUGACCUGUGACUGUCUUCCAGCCGCCCAGGGCAUUUCUGGUGGCCAGGAAAAGCUCCGGCUAUGAACAAUAUAUUUUUCAACCUCCUCGCGAUGUGAAAAACUGGCUUUUUAAGCUUUUCUGAACACCUGCGGGGUGGUGUCCCUCACAAAGAUGUCAAACGCAAAGAAUGAAUGAGAGGAAAGAAGCCCCCAAACCAGUCGCUUGAGUUUCGACAACUCAAAACGCAAUUCUUUGCCAAGAAUUCAACUACUUCAGGCCCGGCAGUUGAUUAAGAUGGUGUUUCUGUGCAUAGACGGGGCCAACAGUCUCUUGGCAAAGAUUUAUAUUCCAUAAUCUAAAGUUAAAUAUAGUUGAACAGAGUUGAACUAAGUCUUGAUUCUGUGUCUGGUAGCUACCUUCUAGAGGCAGAAACAUCUGCAGCAGAUUUAGCCUGGAGGCAGGGAAAGAGACGUACAAUAACUCAGAAAGAGCUUUUCAGUUCUGGGAUGGUGCACUUUACAGAGAAAGCUAUAAAAAGAGAAGCUUAGGACCAAACAUGGUCUUGGAGAGAUCUAAAGUGGACUACUUGUUUACUGAGAUCUGAAAGGUGAUAACGAUGUCGUAAGAAAGACCCCAGAAAACAGCAAAUUGAAUAAAAU